rnacentral:tRNA from 1 species
GCGACAUUAGCUCAGUUGACUCUUUAUUAAAGUCAAGUGCGCGAUACCUAGCUAUAGGAUAUCGGUAAUUUUUUUCGAACCCGAUAUGUCGCUCCA